GCUUGCUUUGGGAGCACAUACUAAAAUUGAACCAAUACAGAGAAGAUUAGCAUGGCCCUUGUGCAAGGAUGACAUGCAAAUUUGUGAAGUGUUCUAUAUUUUU